GUGACUUUGAAUGAAUCCGUGUGUACGUAUUAUUUACCUUGUAGUUUUGAAAGAAUCCAUGUGUACAUAUUAACGUGUGAUUUCACUUCCUUGAAUAAAAUGAAAUGGUUGCCAAGUACUCUAAGUUAGAGCCUGAGAAGCAGACUAAGGAUGUUGCUGCAUCAAUCUUUAGGGAGGUACUAGGCCACAGGCCAGGGUAUGCAAGGGGGUUGGGGGAGAUGGUUAUCCCUGAGUCAUCUAGACAGAACACUGUAAAAAAAUUUGCAGCAUUAACAGAACGUGCAGAGAGGCAUGAGAAGGAUGCUGAGUAUUACAAGAAUCAGUUGGAAGAAUUACGGGGGAAUGUAGAGAAAGUGUUGGCGAAGCAAGCUGAGUACGACAAAUUAUUAAGUUCAUACAUGGAAUCACAGAGGCAAACCCAAGGAGAGUCUCAUAGAGAAACUCAAGGACCUGCAUAGGCAAUUCCUUUUUUAGUCAAUAAGUUUUUUGUGCGGAGAUGGAUUUGUGCCUUACAUGUCAUAGAAAAGUGUCUCCUAGUAUAACUUUUUUGAUUAUUCGAUAUUUGGUGUUAGGUUGUAUGUUUUGAAAGGGUUUACACUGACUUGGAGCUGCACACAGUACAACCUUCACUGUGAAGGAUUUUGAUGUGGAAGUCUGGUUUUGCAGUACUUUGGUUUCUGUAGGCUGGGACCAAAUCAAGAAGUGGAAAAGCUUUGAGAUCAAUGAAGAAGGCUUCCAAUUUUCAGAUGAAGAGGUAUAACUUUAGAUUUUGAGAUGAAGAAGGCAGCUUCCAUGAUGAUCAAGACUUGCUUAGGAAAUCCUUGUUACACAAUAAAUAUGAGGAGUAUACAUGUAAACUUACAUUGAUCUAUUAAUAUGGGAUGUUGGGGUGAAUUUCAAAUAGUCCUUUUUAUGAUGAAUGAAUGAUAUAUCGGUAUAUACAUGUUGAGAGAAUUUGAAACAUCUAUAUCAUGUAAACGAUUAGUUCAUGCUA